CAUGGUAACUUAGUACGGCGAGUGAGCGGUAAAAGCUCAAAUUUGAAAUCUGGUACUUUCAGUGCCCGAGUUGUAAUUUGUAGAAUUUGUCUUUGAUUAGGUCCUUGUCUAUGUUCCUUGGAACAGGACGUCAUAGAGGGUGAGAAUCCCGUUUGGCGAGGAUACCUUUUCUCUGUAAGACUUUUUCGAAGAGUCGAGUUGUUUGGGAAUGCAGCUCAAAGUGGGUGGUAAAUUCCAUCUAAAGCUAAAUAUUGGCGAGAGACCGAUAGCGAACAAGUACAGUGAUGGAAAGAUGAAAAGAACUUUGAAAAGAGAGUGAAAAAGUACGUGAAAUUGUUGAAAGGGAAGGGCAUUUGAUCAGACAUGGUGUUUUUUGCAUGCACUCGCCUCUCGUGGGCUUGGGCCUCUCAAAAAUUUCACUGGGCCAACAUCAAUUCUGGCAGCAGGAUAAAUCAUUAAGAAUGUAGCUACUUCGGUAGUGUUAUAGCUUUUUGGAAUACUGUUAGCCGGGAUUGAGGACUGCGCUUCGGCAAGGAUGUUGGCAUAAUGGUUAAAUGCCGCACGUCUUGACACAAAAGCACCACAUAAU
rnacentral:rRNA from 1 species